rnacentral:rRNA from 1 species
AAAAAAGGUAAGCUACUAAGAGCGAAUGGUGGAUGCCUUGACUGGUAAAGGCGAUGAAGGACGUACUAGACUGCGAUAAGCUACGGGGAGCUGUCAAGAAGCUUUGAUCCGUAGAUUUCCGAAUGGGGCAACCCAAUGUAUAGAGAUAUACAUUACCUAUAUAGGAGCGAACGAGGGGAAUUGAAACAUCUUAGUACCCUCAGGAAAAGAAAUCAAUAGAGAUUGCGUCAGUAGCGGCGAGCGAAAGCGCAAGAGGGCAAACCCAGUGCUUGCACUGGGGGUUGUAGGACUGCAAUGUGCAAGAGCUGAGUUUAGCAGAACAUUCUGGAAAGUAUAGCCAUAGAGGGUGAUAGUCCCGUAUGCGAAAAACAAAGCUUAGCUAGCAGUAUCCUGAGUAGGGCGGGACACGAGGAAUCCUGUCUGAAUCCGGGUCGACCACGAUCCAACCCUAAAUACUAAUACCAGAUCGAUAGUGCACAAGUACCGUGAGGGAAAGGUGAAAAGAACUGAGGUGAUCAGAGUGAAAUAGAACCUGAAACCAUUUGCUUACAAUCAUUCAGAGCACUAUGUAGCAAUACAGUGUGAUGGACUGCCUUUUGCAUAAUGAGCCUGCGAGUUGUGGUGUCUGGCAAGGUUAAGCAAACGCGAAGCCGUAGCGAAAGCGAGUCUGAAUAGGGCGCUUAGUCAGAUGCUGCAGACCCGAAACGAAGUGAUCUAUCCAUGAGCAAGUUGAAGCUAGUGUAAGAACUAGUGGAGGACUGAACCCAUAGGCGUUGAAAAGCCCCGGGAUGACUUGUGGAUAGGGGUGAAAGGCCAAUCAAACUUCGUGAUAGCUGGUUCUCUCCGAAAUAUAUUUAGGUAUAGCGUUGUGUCGUAAUAUAAGGGGGUAGAGCACUGAAUGGGCUAGGGCAUACACCAAUGUACCAAACCCUAUCAAACUCCGAAUACCUUAUAUGUAAUCACAGCAGUCAGGCGGCGAGUGAUAAAAUCCGUCGUCAAGAGGGAAACAACCCAGACUACCAGCUAAGGUCCCUAAAUCUUACUUAAGUGGAAAACGAUGUGAAGUUACUUAAACAACCAGGAGGUUGGCUUAGAAGCAGCCAUCCUUUAAAGAAAGCGUAAUAGCUCACUGGUCUAGUGAUUUUGCGCGGAAAAUAUAACGGGGCUAAAGUAAGUACCGAAGCUGUAGACUUGCGCACAACUUAGAUUAUUUAAGUUUAGAAUAUGAGAAACUAAGUUAUAUUUUUACUGAUUUUUAUAGAGUAAAGAUAGAAAUAAAACUUAGUAAAAUCAGUAAAAAUAUUCUUAGGCUAAAGUUAAGUAGUUUAAGUUGUGUGCAAGUGGUAGGAGAGCGUUCUAUUUGCGUCGAAGGUAUACCGGUAAGGAGUGCUGGAGCGAAUAGAAGUGAGCAUGCAGGCAUGAGUAGCGAUAAUUAAUGUGAGAAUCAUUAACGCCGUAAACCCAAGGUUUCCUACGCGAUGCUCGUCAUCGUAGGGUUAGUCGGGUCCUAAGUCGAGUCCGAAAGGGGUAGACGAUGGCAAAUUGGUUAAUAUUCCAAUACCAACAUUAGUGUGCGAUGGAAGGACGCUUAGGGCUAAGGGGGCUAGCGGAUGGAAGUGCUAGUCUAAGGUCGUAGGAGGUUAUACAGGCAAAUCCGUAUAACAAUACU